GCAUCUGUGGCACAGUUGGUUAGUGCUUUUGGUUGUUACCCAAAAGGUUGGUGGUUCAAACCCAUCCAGAGACA